rnacentral:lncRNA from 1 species
GUCAACUAUGAUAUGAAAUAAAUUUAAUAUGCAUUGAUGUCUUACAGAAUCACUUUUAUGAGUUAAAUACCAUGCAAAUUACUAAAGAAUUCUGUGUAUCUGUGGAUGAUUCAAAUGAAAAUAUUUGUUUACCUGUGAAAGGAAAAUAUGUAUCACAUAAAAUAUAAAGAUUUAAUGUUAUAAACAUUGUAUGUAUAAUCAAUAUAUUUUGCCCAUCACACUUUUAUUACAAAAUCAGAAUUUAUAAACCAUAUUCAUUUCCUUAAAAAAUGGCUUAAAAAAGCACCUGGAAAUUUUUUAGGCACAAGAUUUAUUUUAAAAACAUAUAAUUUGUUCCUAAUCUGCAGAAAGAAGUUUCGUAAGAUUACUAAUCACUAGGAUUUGCUUUUUCUGUAGCAGCCACAGGAGAGGACGAUACAAUAGGUCUUCGGAAAAGGUCAGGCGGGACCCACUGUGUACUUGUUCUUUCUUUCAUUUUCAAGCUUCUCUCCCUUCCUAUGCCUUUGGAGUAACUUCUGCUCACCAGUGAAUAUAUUUUGUUCCAUGGGAUUUAUGAAAUUUCUAACCUUUCUUUGUGUUCUGCACUGCCUUGUCCAUUUCAUCAUCACCUUCCUGUCGUUUACCACCUUGAAGCAGAUUCUUUACUAUUGAGCCACCAGGGAAACCAUAAAUAAACAAAAAAACAACUUAGCUCAGCAAAGCACAUUAUAGCAAAGUGAUCUGUUAUUAUAUAGCGUGACUAAAAAUGGGCAAUCAUGAAAAACAUUCUUUUAAAAUAUAAAUUAUUUGAAUGCUUACAGCCUUUAAACUUUCAAAGAAAUUAUCUUCAGUUAUACCAUGUACAGUUGAUAUGAGGAGUUCAAGAAAUAGUAAUGGAUAUAGAGACUUCACACAAUGUAUUGUUUUUCAGUCACUAAGUCCCUACUCUUUGCAGGCCCAUGGACUGCAGCACACCAGGCCUCCUUGUUCAUCACCAAUUCCCGGAGUUCACUCAAACUCAUGUCCAUUGAGUCGGUGAUGCCAUCCAGCCAUCUCAUCCUCUGCCGUCCCCUUCUCCUCCUGCCUUCAAUCUUUCCCAGCAUCAGGGUCUUUUCCAAUGAAUCAGCUCUUCGUACCACACAGUGUAUACAGCACAAGGUGGCCUUCUCAUCCUCCUCCUAUCCACCCACCUCACCAUGGGUCUGCAUCCUGAAUGAACGUGUUCCUCAAAGACAGUAACUCCCACACACCAAGCGGUAUCUAGCUGUGUGGGUGAGAUAUUCUCCAGCCUCUCCAAAGCUGUGUAGGUAAGUCUGGCUGAAGUCACUGCCGCCAUCAUCUGGGGUGUGCUGUUUGUUCCUACAGGAGGUUCUCCAUCCUCGCUAAGUCACCUGUGUUGGCAACACUUCUUGCCUGGGAUGAACCUCCGUUGGGCCUCACAUAGCAGAUCCUGCACCACUCAUCGCUUCAGGCAGUAGACAGUGUGGGCUGGGUCCUGCCGUGAGCUACAGCCACAGCUUCCUCCUCCUGAGGGUCGGUGAGAAGCCUGACCUCAUGUCAUGGGGGGAAAACAGUCUAAAAACCCUGGGUCUUUUUAGGUUCUGUGUGACUCCACUCCAUGGACCCGCUCUGGUUUCUGAGACUGUCUCAGUUAAAAGAUUAGUAGCUAUGGUUUCUAUUUAGGAACGCAGUCUACCAUGUGAUGUGAUGUCCAUCCUUCCCUCAAGCAAGCCAAAAGGAAAAAAAUGGUGCAGCUGUUCUUAAGUUCUCAGAAAUUCUAGGAUUGAGCAAUGCCCUUCAUGGAUUGGCUGACCAACAGGAUAUGGGAAUUUAGGAAAGCUGCAGAUGAGGAAUCUUUCAUAAACAAACAAACAAACAAAAAACGGAACUUGAACUACUGGGAGUGAUGGUAUGGAUGAGAAAGAAUGUAGUCAUUUCAUCCUUGACCAAGAUGGUAACAUCCUCUCUCAAUAAAGGAUUAUAGGCAAUGGAUUAACCA